AUUCUAUUCUAGAAGGAUCUAGAA
rnacentral:snRNA from 1 species